AGAGUUCUAAAGAAAUAGAAGCUUGAAGUAUCAUCUCUCAAGUAUAUAGACACUACUUCAUGGUGUGGUAAUAUAUGCAUAUAGAAGCUAGUAAACACCUCCAGGAGAUGCAAAAGGAAUUAGAACUGCCACAAGGUGCAAGCAAAACCUUGAGGUAAUCAAUCUGCAUCCCAUUUUGGAUGAGAAUAUUUGCAACUUUGAAGGUUAUUUUAAGGACAGCAGCAGAAGAAUUAUGGCAGCUCUUCAUGGAAAAAAAAAAUGGCAACAAUAAAAUCAGCAACUCUUGCCAAAUAAAUGGACAUAAAAAAGAAAUCAUAGACUGCUGGCAAUGGUGGGGAAAAAGUUAUAAAAAUUGUCUCUGCACCAUCUUCCUUUUGUCCUCUAAAAUAUUCACAUUAGCAAAUGUAUAUAACAGCUGAUGAAUACUGAUAAUUUGUCUUUUUCUGUUUUUCCUCUUCUAAUCCUUCACCCAUCUGAGCCAAAGUCUAGACCUAAGGAGGCUACUAAUUCAGGGAUCGAGUAAUCUGCCAAGCAAGAGUUUAUUCAAGCACAGUUUGAAAUAAAGGUUUCAAAUGCAUAGCCUGUCGAUAUUUUGGAAGGAUUCUCAUCAUAACGAGAUAUGGGAGAACACCUGAGACGGCAGGCCAGAAGUCACUCAGUAGGAGAAACAUCCAUUAGAAGUAAUAAUGUGGGAUUGGUGAAGUAAAGACUAUAGGAAGAAAAAAGUGUCUGUGUGUAGGAAACAGAAAGGGAGAGAAAAAUACAUUGAGAUGGUAAAGUAAGGAAGUGGAAGAUCAGCAGAAUAUGCAGAUGCCAAGCCAUCCAAGAAAAUCAUCUCUUGUGAUUGUUGCGAAGUCAACUAGCUAAUGUGACUCACUGCUAGGCUGUUGGAUCUCAGACUUAUGUGGGAUAAUUUAGAAACUUGCUAGUGUCUUAAGAUCAAUUACUCACCAAUGAGAGUGGCAUUGAACUGUGAAUGUUCCUCCUAGAUUUUCCAUGAAGACUAAUGGUUUUGUCUUGUCUUGAAUUUAUUUUAAUUACAAUUUGUAUACAUCCUGUUCCACCCUGAAAUUUUUAUUUUCCAAAUGGUUUUUCAUUUAAAGAGACUAAAUAAAGGUUCUGACUGAGUUGUACUUGUGGGAACUCCAAACUCUUUUUAUAGGAAGCUAUUUUCAUCAAAUAGUGUUGAGAAUCAAGUUUCCAGUUGGAGAAAAUAACAGAGACAUGCAAAUUCAGGAUGUAGCUGUACAGCAAUGUUAGUGAAGAGAGAAAAUUUUGAGUCAUUUAGACAUUAACCAUUAAGCAUCUGGAUUUUUU
rnacentral:lncRNA from 1 species